AAAAACAUGUCCUUUAGAAUUUAAUUUAAGGUCUAACCUGCCCACUGAUAAAAAUUAAAUGGCCGCAGUAUUUUAACUGUGCAAAGGUAGCAUAAUCAUUAGUCUUUUAAUUGAAGGCUUGUAUGAAUGGUUGGACGAAAUAUUAACUGUUUCAUAAAAAUUUAUUUAGAAUUUUAUUUUUUAGUUAAAAAGCUAAAAUUUUUUUAAAAGACGAGAAGACCCUAUAGAUCUUUAUAAUUUAUUUAUUAUAGUUAUAUAGAUGAUUUAAAUUAUGAUUUUAUAUAUUAUUUUGUUGGGGUGACAUUAAAAUUUAAUAAACUUUUAAUAAAUUUUUACAUUAAUUUAUGAUUAAUUGAUCCAUUAUUAGUGAUUAUAAAAUUAAGUUACCUUAGGGAUAACAGCGUAAUUUUUUUGAAGAGUUCAUAUCGAUAAAAAAGAUUGCGACCUCGAUGUUGGAUUAAGAUAUAAUUUUGGGUGCAGCAAUUCAAUAAUUAAGUCUGUUCGACUUUUAAUUUCUUACAUGA
rnacentral:rRNA from 1 species